UUCCAAGCUGAGCUUGUAAUGCAUCAGUUUGGGUAUAUAUUUUCCUGCAGGAGAGCAUGUUUGCUGUGCACAGGGACGUAGCUGUGAUACAGCCCUGCUAAUGAAGGCUGGAAGCAUGUGGAAGGUGGUGGAAAUCCAUGCAAGACGAUGAGUAUUUCAAUAUUGCUCAGCGUUGUUGCGCAGACAACUAGAAACAUGUUAGCUGAAUGUUCUUGCAAGGAUGCACAUGGAGUCUGAAAUGCUUCUCACUCUUCAGCCCCUCAGUAUCUUUGUGCUACCUUAUGUUUGAGGCUUCUUGGGCAACAACGAAGGCUCCUAUCUAGAGCAGCUCUGGAGUCAGUCGAGCUGAACACAGAAGAAACUGGCACAUGAUAUCCAGUAUCUACUUCAGACUUAGUGAAGAGUCCUUUCAUAUAUAUCGAUCUGUAGAGAAAUGAGUAAGGAUGGUCUGGCUUUAAAAGGAAAAAGAAGAGAGUGAGAUAUUCAUGAAAUAUAGGCUCCACCAGUGAUGUACCUAAUAAAAGCUGAGGCCUGACUGAUCCA
rnacentral:lncRNA from 1 species